UUAGGUCUUCAGCAAACUCUUCAACAAAGCAGUCAGGCUGAGGAGGUGAGCCUCUCCCUAGAGGGUGACUCAGGCUGGCGAAGCUCCUGCCCAGCUGCGUUCAGCUAUGCAAUGAUGAUCAGACAAUGACGGCCAGACCUACCCUACACACGAUGCUCCUGGUGACAGGCACAUGCUGCUUCCUUCUUGAGUAUUUGAUUCGACUAAUAUUUAUGAAGCAUUUAUCAGCGCAUGGCAUCACGGUGUAGGCAAAAAUAUAUGUGAUGCACAUUCACUGAGAGCUUGCUUUACAUAGAACAGGAAUUGGAAGUUUGCAACCUGCGAAAAUUACUUUUUCUGGUUGCAAAAAAUGUAUGUGUACUAUGAGAAAGUAUAUUAUCUCUGAAAGAAAUUCAAACAUACAAAAUAUAGAAAAUAAAAAAGUAGAACUAAUCCCAUAAUCUCUCCCUCCGGAUGUAGCCGCAGUUAGAAUUUAUCUUCAAAACUUUUUAAAUAUCCUUAAGUCUCUGGGAGUGUUUUAUUUUUGAAAAUUAAGAUAACAGGGCCAGGCGUGGUGGCUUUGGGCUGGGCACAGUGGUUUAUGCCUGUAAUCCCAG
rnacentral:lncRNA from 1 species